rnacentral:lncRNA from 1 species
UUGUUUAACUUUCAGUUGCUGCAGCAACUGAGUAUACUGGGCCCAGCCAGAUUCUCUGGGUGCUUUCUUCUUUCUUAGUUCCCCCUUUAUUGUGGGCCCUCCUCAGUGCCAACAUUGCUUUGUCUCUCGCUGGAGAAGCCUGUGAGAACGAGGAUGGGCAAAGUGUCAGGCUCUUGGUGCAGCUGAAAAUCCUUUGAGAUGGAAGAAAUGGCUGGAACAAAGGGGCAGAGGAACAAAAAGCCCUGAACUGCUUCGCCCCUGCCUCGUGGGGUCUUUAUCAUCUUAAACCUUGGGAUUUGGGCUUUGAUCAACUCGGCCUUCCUGGGCCUCGGGGAGAGAGACGGACUGCCUCCGGGUGCUCAUGACCUUUCCAGCAGUAAGCCAAUAAUGUAUGACUCCUGCGUUGCCGUUGCUCGUUUGAGGAACAUCUGUCCAGUCCCUGGGAUGGUGAGGCUAUAACCACAAAGGAAUAAGAGAAGACGACUAGUUUUGUAAUGGCUUUGAAUGAUGCAUUGGCCCACGUGGACCACCUUCCAUUUCCCAAGACUUUUUGAAGGCAAUGAAUGAGAAGAAAGCAGAGAAAACAGUGGGCGUGAGGUCAGAUGACUCAGGCUUGAGUACUGAUCACAUCAAGGAUUGGACGCACUGCUCUUAGGAAGGCACAACUUCUACUACUUUCAGUCUUAUCAACUGUGAGAGUGUACCCUUGCUGUAGAUGCCACCCGCCCAGCAGUCCUCAUCAUCUUGGCCCAGGAUCACCUGAAACAGAUGAUCCUCCUUUUGAGCUACCAUCAGAAGGUCCACAGUACUAGCCCAGCGCUACAUCCCAAUGCCUACGCCAUUCAUCUCACCUCAUCUCAUCACGUAGACAUUUCAUCAUGUCACAUCAUCACAAGAAGGGUGAGUAAGGUCCAGUGAGAUAUUUCGAGAGAGACAGAGACCAUAUUCACAUAACUAUUAUUACAAUAUAUUGUGGU